rnacentral:rRNA from 1 species
CCUACGGGCGACAGCAGUGGGGGAUAUUGCACAAUGGGGGAAACCCUGAUGCAGCGACGCCGCGUGAGUGAAGAAGUAUUUCGGUAUGUAAAGCUCUAUCAGCAGGGAAGAAAAUGACAGUACCUGACCAAGAAGCCCCGGCUAACUACGUGCCAGCAGCCGCGGUAAUACGUAGGGGGCAAGCGUUAUCCGGAUUUAUUGGGUUUAAAGGGUGCGCAGGCGGCGAGUUAAGUCAGCGGUAAAAUUUCGGGGCUCAACCCCGACAAGCCGUUGAAACUGGCUUGCUAGAGUGGGCGAGAAGUAUGCGGAAUGCGUGGUGUAGCGGUGAAAUGCAUAGAUAUCACGCAGAACUCCGAUUGCGAAGGCAGCAUACCGGCGCCCAACUGACGCUCAGGCACGAAAGCGUGGGUAUCGAACAGGAUUAGAUACCCCAGUAGUC